AUUCCCUCUGCUUUUGUAUGUCUGUGAAAGUGUUUAUCUCACCUUUAUCUAAAGGACAGCUUUGAUGGGCUUGAAAUGUUUUGUGCCAUUGUCUCUGUAAUAAGAAAAGAAAGAGGUUACUGAUUUCUCUACAUUCGUCUAGUCCUUACAACUCUGAGCCUUCUAACUGCUUUCCAAAACAAAUAAAGAAACUGGAGCAGAAAAUCAGUCACAUUAAAUUUACCACCAUUCAAAAAGCCAAGACAUCAACCAUAGUCUUGGAUUCAUCUUUAACUGUUGGGUAAUACGGCACUGUCUGAACAUACUGUUACAAUAUAUUCCAUGGAUGUUGGAUCCACUGAUGAACAUUUGAGUUGUUUCCAAGCUUUUGUUAAGUGAAAAUUAGUGAUACAACAUUUCCGAACCUGUGUUUGAUUGUAUAAGUGCAAGAGACUCUCCUAGACAUUCCUAGAAAUAAAUUUUCUGUGUCAUAAAACAUGAGAAUAAUCAACUUAAAAAAUAAUGCCAAACUGUUUCAGUGAUAGAUAACUAACUCUCCAAUUGGUAAUAUAUAAGAGAUUCUACAGAUUUCCACUACGUCUAACACUUGGUAUUGUAAAAUCUUAAUGUUGCCAAUGUAACAAGAAUUAGACAGAAAAUUACAGUGGUUUUGAUGUUGAUGUCACUGAUUACAAUGAAGUUAUUAAUAAAUAUCUUUUUU
rnacentral:lncRNA from 1 species